CGUACAUUGACUCACACUGCAUCGGCAUGCCACGUGAGGGAUGACGGUCUUCGGAUUGUAAAGCACUUUUGGUGGGACGAUAAUCACAGCACCAGUACAAUUCCCCCUUGCUAGUUCCCUGCCAAUAACCACGGUAAUACUACGGGGGCUAGCGUUGCUCGGAAUGACUGGUGCAAAAGGGCGCGUAAAUUACUGGGCCUAAAGCGUGUGUAAUUCCUGGAAUAAAUCGGUUGUGAAAGCCCCGGGCUUAACCUGGAAAGUGCAAAAAAUACUGUUGGAAUUGACUAUGAUAAAGGGAAAUGGAAUUCCCGGGGUAACAACGAAAUGGGUAAAUGCCGCGACGAACACUUUUGGUGAAGGUGACUCCCUGAAUCAUUACUGACACUCAGGAUUAAAUACCCGGGGAGUCCACAGGAUUAAAUAUCUGGGCUGUCCGUUCCCUAACUUAUGAUUACUAUACGUUGGCAGGCUUAUACCUUUCACUGUCGGGGGAGUACGGAUAAGUUCUCCAAACGGAGAGGACUUGACGGAGGUUGAAACUCAAAUGAAUUGACGG
rnacentral:rRNA from 1 species